rnacentral:misc_RNA from 1 species
GAAAUGCGAUAAGUAGUGUGAAUUGCAGAAUUCAGUGAAUCAUCGAAUCUUUGAACGCACAUUGCGCCCCUUGGUAUUCCAUGGGGCAUGCCUGUUCGAGCGUCAUCUACACCCUCAAGCUCUGCUUGGUGUUGGGCGUCUGUCCCGCCCCCGCGCGUUGACUCGCCCCAAAUCCAUUGGCAGCGUUCCUUGCCCCCUCUCGCGCAGCACAUUGCGCUUCUCGAGGGCGGCUCCGGGACGCGAUCCAGCAAGAUGACCACCGUCUUUGACCUCGGAUCAGGUAGGGAUACCCGCUGAACUUAAGC